AUGGAAGCUCCGGCUCCAGAUUGGUCCGGGCUACCAGCGGACAUAUUGAUCAGCAUAUUCCAGUUGCUCCAGUGCCCGGACCUCCUCCGAUCCGCCGCCGUCUGCACAUUCUGGCAAAAGGCGUACUCCACGCUCCGCCGCAGCGGCGUCUGCCCCAGUCGGCAGACCCCCUGCUUACUCUAUUGUACCGAGGCCGCCGGUGCGAAGGCUCUUGGCAUGUACAGUCUCUCCGAACGGAAGGACUACUCCAUGCCCCUCCCUGAACCUCCCAUCAGCAACUGGAUUGGUUCAUCACAUGGCUGGCUAGUCACCAUGGAUGAGAAGUCUGACCUGAUGCUUCUCAACCCUAUCACCGGUGACAAGAUUGCACUCCCUCCCGUGACAACCAUGGAGCAUGUUAAACCUGUCCUAAACGAUGACGGGGUUCUUGAAGAGUGCAAAUGCAUUGUCAUGCUCAUCCAUCAGCCGUACUGGCAGCUCUCGUUCGCCAAAGUGGGAGAUGCUCGGUGGAACUGGCUCCAAAUGCAUAGUUUCUAUGCAGAUUGCAUAUACCAUGAUGGCUGUUUCUAUGCAGUGACUGAAGAAGGUGCGAUCGAUAUGUACAAUCUAGAUGGACCAUCCGUCAUCCACAGAAGAAUUUUACCAGAUAUGGUUGACAUGGUCCAGAGGUACUACAUUGUUCAGGCACCAUGGGGAGAUUUUCUCCAAAUCUACAAGAAGCGGGGCUGGGAUCCUGAACGACCGGUUGGUGAGACGUAUGCCACCGCUUUUGAAGUGUACAAGGUUGAUUUUGUCGAGCAGAAGCGUGUUAAGAUGGCAGGGAUAGGUGACUAA
rnacentral:rRNA from 1 species